UAAGAAUAUAUUUGACAAAAGACAAAAAUAUAUUUGCGUUUAAAUUCUUAUCAGUGUUCCGUAUAUUCAGAACCUUCUCCAUACAUAACCCUCACAGUUCAUAAAACAUCAGCUUAAAUUGUGUACUAAUCUGAGUGAUGCUUAUACAAGCAUCUUUUAGAUUGCUGUCCAGGAACUUGGGUCCCCCCCCCCCCCCUCAUCGCCACUUAAAUUCUGGCUUUGGUAAACUAAAGAAAAUACUUUUGUAGACUGUUUUAAAAUGAGAACUGAAAAUAUUACGUGUAGUCAUAUUACUGUGUUUAAAACAGUUGCUUGGUGUAACUUAAAUGGCAAGAAUGUUGCACUAUGCAAGCAAAGGAGAUUACCUUCCAGGAAAGUGAAACACCUGUCAGUAUUCUUCUUUUCUCUAAGGAGCUGUGGCAUUGAAUUAUCCCUGAAGUACGGCUAUUGGAAAAUUGGUCAUUUUACGUGGCCGUAAAUGUAUAUGUAUUUUUUAGAAGCUAGAGCAACCAGUGCUAAAUGGCGGCCUAAAUGGUUGUUAGAACGGUCCCCUCACUUUUUUUUGGUCGUCUCCCAGACGACAGUCCAAGCUGUUCCCCCCGAUGUCUUCCUUUUCCGACAGAGGCAUGGAUUUUUGUGAUUUCCUUUAUGGACUGUAGGCUAGUAUCUGUUUUUUGUAAUUAUAAAUGUUUUUCUCCCAGCCUGUUGUGUAGCCACAUGUUUGCUUAAAAUGAGUUUGCUUAAAUCCACGCACAAACACUUCCAGGCACACCUUCCAAUGUCCUUUUUGUAGACUUCGGUGUGGACACUGAGUUAUGUGUUAGGGCUACUUCCUGAAGUAAACUACUGACUUAUAAGGGGGGGGGGGUGUUGGGUGUUGGGUGUUGGUCCUAACAUGGUUGUACAGGGUGUUGGUCCUAACAUGGUACAGUCACAUUCUGUUUGUGUAGCUGAAUAUUUAAACAGCCCUUGGUGUCCGCGCCUACCUUUAUUUACGUAAUCGCUGGAAAGUGGAGUCAUAGGGCGGAAGUUCAGUGUAAUGGCUUCGAGGUUGGUCUAGUAACCAAAAGGUUGCAGGUUCAAUUCCCCGGUAGGACACUGCUGUUGUACCCUUGAGCAAGGUACUUAACCUGCAUUGCUCCAGUAUAUAUCCAGCUAAUGUAAUGGAGCCAGACAAAGAGCCAAUAUGCCCUCUCCCCCUCCUCGUGUCAUCAUUCAUGCCUUCACUAGCCUGCAGUUCUCAGUGUUAUCCAGAUCAAAGGCUGGUGUCCAGGAACAAUGGCAAUCGGGCGAGUUGCUCAUCUUCGUUUGUUUUCGUUUUUUGUUCAGCCCAGAAUUAGGACAGCCCUUUUUCUGGAUGGUAACUGGUGACAAAACAUUGUGUGGCUUUGGAUUAUUUUUUUCCCCUCAGCUGUAGUAUUCGUUUAAAAAGACUGGCAAUGUUUUUAGAGUAUUAUAUAGUUUUGACUUCUGUUACGGCUUUUAAUUUUAAUCCCUAGGUGCUCCGCUCUUCAUCAGUAGAGUUUGUUAAAGCUGCAUGUGAAAAUAGUGUUGGGUUUCUACAUUUAUAUGGUUUCAGACUUCCGUAACCAUUUUCAGUGCAUUGAGGUGUAGCAUUGCAGUAAAACAUUGAAUUAAAACACUAGGGCCAGUUGUUUUAACUUAAGGGCAGCUUGUAGUCAUAAACUUGUUUUAAAGAUUUUUGUGUAUUGUGUAAAAUAAUUUUGGGUGUGCAUGUGUAAGGUGACAUUGGUUUUGCGGAAAUUCGCAUAAACAGGGUUGUUUUACAACAGAGGCUAGGCCCAAGUAGUGAGCAGGGGAAAUGUAUUACUAUUAUGUGUGAAGUGCUCCAUGAUGCUAAAUUAGAAAAAUUUUAAUUGAAAGAGACUGUUGCAACAGAAGUGUUGUGAUCUCAUUCUGGCUCUGAAAAAGUGUUUUUUUGUUUUUUUUGUUUGUUUUUUAUUUUUUUAAAUCCUACGUUGUGUGCAGAGUUGACGUGCGCUUGUGUGGGGAAAGAUGUGUGGUGUUUUGGGGGUGAAGUAGCUCUGUGUGAUCUGUGUCGGUCUGCGCUGUGUCUGGAGGUACCUGUGGUCCAGUGCUGGGUUCGCCUCUCGACCCAACGUAUGUGAGUACCUGUGGUGUUGCAAAGAAAUAAAUCUGGGCGUUUUCUCCCAACACUUCAACGUAAAUCUUUUAACCAAAAGUCCUUGACGCAAAGUGACCCAAGUGCCUUGUUGCUCUCAUUGGACUGGCUGUUUCAGUGGUAUGCAGAGAAAAAUGAAUCCCCCUGAAUUCGAUGGCGUAAGAUUUGUGUUCCUGUGUCGUCUGCACGGUCCAUCUCACCUCAGCAGUUACGUUGGGGCUUGAAAACUGGUGUUUAUUGUAGGGCCAGUAAAAUCUUUAAAUGAUAAUGCAUUCAACGCCGUUAUUGGGCAAGACCGGCCCCGUAGACUAUACUUUUUUUUUGUUGUUGUUUAUAAAAUUGUUUUUAUUAAGAGCUAAAAAGGCUCAGUUCUAAUCAUGUGAAUGGCUCUCAGCCGUCGGGUGGAUCUGGUGAAGACCAGUCCCGGAGCACAGACGGUUUGGUGGGUGUUUGGCGCUCGUUCUGUUCGCGGGUUGAAGCAGCCUGCGGCAAGUGCAGGUAAUCUGGCUGGACUCGUGUGAGGGAGAGAAACGACCUAACCAGAGGUUGCGCUGCUCUCGCGUACUCUGUUUUUUUCUUUCUCUUCAGAGGUGCAUCUUGAAGAAGCUCUCCAUGUAGUACAGAGGCAACGUGAGCAUCGAUGCUGAGAGCAGCAUCACCCACAUUGGAAUGUUGGUGAGGUUGCAAGCUUGUUGUUUUGGUCCUUUUUCAAUGUAGUUGGCAAGGAGAGUGUUUUGAAAUCCACAGUAGACCUUCAACAUCAGGAGUGUUCUGUUGUAGGAUUCGGGUGCGUGCGGUUGUAGGUCUCGGCUAAGUCAUUUGAAGCAGUCUGGAUCCUGUGACACUACAUCUAUUUGAAUCAGUCUACCAGGCAUUGGUGCCUUCACCAAGCAGUGUAAAUGAGUCUGUUAACUGUGUCAAGUAACGUUGAGUGAUUUUGUUUGUUCAUUUCCUUCAUUUUUAUUUUUUUCCCCUUUGUUCUUCCCAACUUUGGGAUGACCGGUUUCCCCCGCGCCUAUUGGUGAAUCUUCCACUAUUGAUUUGAGAGAGCCUGGGGCUGAGGAAAAUGCGUCCCCUCGUCUGGAGUGGGGCUGUACCAUAUAUCCAGUCACGGUUUUUAAGGUGUAAUAACCACUGCCAUGGGACGUGUAGGCCAUUUUUUGUCUUUUUUAUUGUUUGUUUUUAUUUUAGAAUUCUUGAUGUGGUAGUAAACAACCAAACAUCAGUGGCCACGUGAAAUGCUUCCUGGAAAAGACAUCACUGAUAUCUAUUCAGUGUUGGCAAGACAGCUAAUCGGCAGCAAGGUUAUACAGCUUCUUGGUGAUUGUGAUUUAUUUAUUUACCUUUUUAUAUCACGCUGUAAGCUGCAAGGCCUUGCUGCUGAUUGCCCAUCUUAUCAGCACCCAAAAGAUCUUGGUGUUUUUUUAACCACUUACAACAGUUCCUUAACAGGAUAAGCCACCCAGCAGCACAGCUUGAAGGGAUUUUGAGUGGUGGUUAUCAUUUUGAGAAGAAGGGUAUUCGAAGCAUUGCUUAACUGUUCAUUAGGUGGUGGUGGGGAGGGGUGAUUUAAUUUCCCUUGCUUUCUUUGAGUGGAAAUUAAGUUGUUUUUGAAAGCUCGAUCAUGGACGUGGUCAGGGAAAGACAUAUAGAUUGAUAUUGACAUGGUUUCUGUAUAUGAAGGCUGUUACACUGAUUGGUUAUAUUUUAAUGGGAACUAUCAUUUUAUCCUAGCGCAGGAAUAUCAUAUCAGUAGCUGCAACUAGAGAUAUGUAGACCAGGAUCAGCAGUCACAUGGGGACUGAACUGUUUAAUGUGGGGUUUGGCGGUGUGGAAUUGGCACGCUAGGGGUGAGCCUUUUAGGCUUUUGUUUGUGUGCUUAAAUACAGAAUGAAUGCUGUCUUUAGAACACCCAUUUUUCCAUACGCAUAUAUUGCAUUAUCGUGUCCUAUCCAGUCCAGAGCGUUUUCGUUUGGACAUGGGAAUGACAUCACCAUUUACUUUUUUUUUUUUUUUUUUUUUUUUUUUACAUGAAAUGAUCUUCCUUUUCAGUUCAGGUAACCAUUGACUUUCUUAUUUAUUUUUUUGUGAUCUGAAAUUUUCAGUGUUUUAAAUGUAUGGGGGGGGGGGGGGUGGUGGCAGGGACUUGAACUCUUUGUCAACUACCAGUGGUCCCCCAAGCAAGAUUAUGUUGAUGCCCAAUUUCAUGCUGGGGUUUAUUUUGCUUUUGUUUUGUAGGUGUUUUGUCAAAUAUCUGUAUAUAUCUUUGUGUUUCUGUGUUCACACAUGAUCAGCCUCUUUAAGCUCCAGACCAAGAUGGCUGCAGUUUCCUUUUCAUCCGCAGCAAAUUCAAGCCUUGGAAACAAGUUUGGCUUUAGCCUCUUUAGGCAAACAAUGACUUUAAUUUAGCAAUUAGUGACAGUUCAUUUUUUUUGGGUCGGAUGGGGGGGGGGGGUUAUUUCAGUUGUAGUGUGUCUUUUUGAUUGGGUCACACAGCUUUUAUCUGUGUAGAAGAGCACAGCUUUUGGUGUGCUAGGAGACAGGUUCAUUUUUCCUUGUCAGAUGCCGUUGGUAUCUUGACUGAAAUCAAUGCAAUUUUUUUUCUUUUUUUUGAGAAUUGGGCAAUGUACACACAACCUCUGGAAUUAUACUUUCACUGCACAAGCUGCUUAGGAGUUGAAGUGUAUUUUUUGUUUUGGAGCACAAAUCCCCAGAUGCCCUCAUUUAUGGCCAAGUUGACAGGCCAUCAGAAACCUGUGUAAAUAUCUAAAAAAUCCUUCAUCGCACUCACAGGCUAUCUGGGCCAAUCAGAAAACAUAACACUGAAACUGAAAUCAUGUUGAAAAUGUGAACUGUAAGUGUUGAAACGCCAAAAACCAGCAGGCCGAGGAACUGAGUAAGGUUCUCGGCCUAACGGAUUGAGGAUGGUUGGGUUGUGGGGGUUAUUGUUUUGAAACUUCAGGAGUGCGUACGAAGAGAACUCAACACAUUUAAGCCCGCCAUGGAAAAUUAGAAAAGAAAAAACCCGAAGUGUAGCUGCUGCGCAAUUUCAGCCAGAGAAACAUUCAUUUUAACAGCCUCUCAAUACCAAAGCUGACACACAUAUGGUGGGAGGUUUGGAAUGUCUUGAGUGUGCGUGUACUUGCGUGUGUAACAUUGAAUUUGUUGACGAUACACUUGCACUACUGUCGCUUCAACCCGUACUCGCAUAGAUUUCACUGCGGCUUUGUACUGUAGAGACUAGGUGCGUGAGGUUCAUGCAAUGACUUGCUUUGUUUAAAAAAAAAAAAAAAGAAUAAAUUAAAAAUAGGUCCUUCAAAAUCUAACAUGAAAGUUAUCGUACCGAAUAUCAGAAUGCUGAUUGUGUUGUAUCAUUGCAAAGGUGGGAAACAAAAAAUCUAAUAAAAAUUGAGCUGUAACCUUUUUAAUAAA